ensembl:lncRNA
UCACAGACCCUUCAUCCCUGCCUGACCCUGAUCUCGGGCGCCUGCACCCCGCAACUCCGCUUGGAGUCCACGCAGACACUGCGCCCGCGCCAAGGUUGCCUGGACAGGGAGGGCGGGGAAGCGGGAGCACCGCAUCCAUUUCAUUCAUGAUUUUCUCCUCUCGGAAGCCCCGAGGCCCGGGCCGCGCCGCUACGGCGGCCGUCAGAGGGACCCCGGCAGGGCCGUGAGCACCGAACCCGGUGCAGGAGCGACAGGCAGACAGCUGAGGGGGGUACCAAGGUGCACCAUCACAGAGCUACACCCUGAUGCCAGCUACCGCCCUCUUUGACCUGGAUUUCUACAAUAGCCUCCUUCCUGGUACCCCCGCUGCCACCCUUGACCCCCUGCAGUCGAUUCUCUACUGUCAGAGCUAACCUUUGAAAACAAUACCAUGGGGAGCAUCGUUUUCUGUUUGCAUUACUGUUGGAUCCCAAGUGUCAUGGACCGUGCCCGAUAUAUAGCAGAUACUCAAUAACAGUUUUGUCGAACACUUAAAUGAUAAUUUCAGAGAGGAAGGACAGAACCAUAUAUCUGAAAUGGUAAAGUAGGUCAAUUUUUUACCGGCUCAUGUUUUCUUUCUCUUUCUUUCUUUUCUCAUUUUCUUCCUUUUUCUCUACUCAUUUCCAUGAUGAACUCGAGGCAGCUCUAGCACUUAACGCUCAGAGCAAGUCUUCAGGAGGGUUUUCUGACUGUAGAUCCUGAUCUUACUGUCAUGGGUAUAGCAAAUGUGUCAAGGGGGUUUCAUGAUGCUGAUUUUGAUGGACUCUUUCAAAGAAAAAUGGACAUUUCCCUGACAUCUAAGUCUGCAAAGGCAAUCCUUUUAGGGGUCUAAGAAUAGUGUCUAAGUACCAUUCCCAACGAUUAAGGUUUUAUAGCAGAUCCUGUAGGGA